rnacentral:rRNA from 1 species
CGACCGGCGCACGGGUGAGUAACACGUAUCCAACCUGCCGAUAACUCGGGGACAGCCUUUCGAAAGAAAGAUUAAUAUCCGAUAGGAUAUCAAGAUCGCAUGAUCUUGAUAUUAAAGAAUUUCGGUUAUCGAUGGGGAUGCGUUCCAUUAGUUAGUUGGCGGGUAACGCCCACCAAGACGACGAUGGAUAGGGGUUCUGAGAGGAAGGUCCCCCACAUUGGAACUGAGACACGGUCCAAACUCCUACGGAAGGCAGCAG